AACGAACGCUGGCGGCAGGCUUAACACAUGCAAGUCGAACGCACCGCAAGGUGAGUGGCAGACGGGUGAGUAACACGUGGGGAUCUGCCCAAUGGUACGGAGUAGCUCCGGGAAACUGGAAUUAAUACCGUAUGAGCCCGCAAGGGGAAAGAUUUAUCGCCAUUGGAUGAACCCGCGUCGGAUUAGCUAGUUGGUGUGGUAAAGGCGCACCAAGGCGACGAUCCGUAGCUGGUCUGAGAGGAUGAUCAGCCACACUGGGACUGAGACACGGCCCAGACUCCUACGGGAGGCAGCAGUGGGGAAUAUUGGACAAUGGGCGCAAGCCUGAUCCAGCCAUGCCGCGUGAGUGAUGAAGGCCUUAGGGUUGUAAAGCUCUUUCGCCGACGAAGAUAAUGACGGUAGUCGGAGAAGAAGCCCCGGCUAACUUCGUGCCAGCCGCCGUGGUAAGAC
rnacentral:rRNA from 1 species